CGCGCAGUCGCGAACGUGUGUUGAGGGAAAAAGGGACAGCGCCAUAUUGGGAGGGAUCGGGGGGUUUUUUUUCUUUGAGAAAUAAAGGUUUUGAAUAUAACCAGUAGCAUUGGUUGGUAAACGUAUAUAGAUACAGCAGUGCUAACGGAUUUUUUUGUUGUCACCUGACGAAUCGUCACAAAUUCUCAACGUCGUUUGCGUAACUUCUGGUUGAAAAUGUCUGGCAGUGUAAUUCGAGGGCCUGCAGGGAACAACGACUGUCGGAUUUACGUAGGUAAUUUACCCCCCGAUAUUCGCACCAAGGACGUAGAGGAUGUGUUUUAUAAAUACGGAGCCAUUCGGGAUAUCGACCUUAAAAACAGAAGAGGAGGUCCGCCGUUUGCAUUCGUGGAGUUCGAGGACCCGAGAGAUGCAGAGGAUGCUGUGUAUGGACGAGAUGGCUAUGACUAUGAUGGCUAUCGUCUUCGAGUGGAGUUCCCAAGGAGUGGCAGGGGAGGUGGAAGAGGUGGAGGUGGAGGUGGUGGAGUUGGAGCUCCCAGAGGCAGAUAUGGCCCUCCAUCCAGGCGUUCAGAGUACAGGGUCAUAGUGUCAGGACUUCCUCCUAGUGGCAGCUGGCAGGACCUUAAGGAUCACAUGCGUGAAGCAGGUGAUGUAUGUUAUGCUGACGUUUUCCGGGACGGCACUGGCGUUGUGGAGUUUGUGCGCAAAGAAGACAUGACCUACGCCGUUCGAAAGCUGGAUAACACUAAGUUCCGGUCACAUGAGGGAGAGACGGCUUACAUUCGCGUAAAGGUGGAUGGCCCGCGCAGCCCCAGUUACGGGCGCUCUCGCAGCCGCAGCAGGAGUCGCAGCCGGAGCAACAGCCGCAGUCGCAGCUACUCUCCACGCCGCAGCCGAGGAUCGCCGCGUUACUCGCCCCGCCACAGCCGCUCCCGUUCCCGCACCUAAACAUCCACAUCCCAGCUAGCUGGCUGGCCACAAUCAUAUACACGCUGUGUCGUCCUCUAUUGGACCCACUGUUGUACUUCAUUGCUCUUUUGACUUUUGUCUCUCCACUUUUCCCCAGUUUGCUUUCUUUCAUCUUUGGUUUGUUAAUUGUUUUUAUUUUUUAUUUGACUGUCAUUCUGCUAAUGACAGCUAUGUGUAGCUAAGUAGAUGUUCUCCUUUCUCUCCUUUCUUUCCCGUCAAUCCUUUUUUUUUUUUUUUCUUCAUACUCAUCCCUUGUACUAUAUGUUUGACAAGGGACAUGUUGAAAUGCUUUAAAUAGUUGUGUGUGUGACUAAUUAAUUUGCUACUGUUUUAUUUUGUUAAUGAUGCUUCGUUACUGGCUUUUUUGGGGUGGGAUUCUUUUUUCGUUGAAAAACUGUUAUACUUUUACCUUUUCAUGUCUUUCUAUAGACAACAGAAGAGCAGGAUUAAAGAAAGCUUUGGAAUAAAGGAUUUUGAAGCACAGUUCAUUCAUAUUAGGAUAUUUGGAGGAGGAGGAGCAGGCAUUUCAUUUAAGGAGGCAAUGGUUUGGAUUGGAGGAGGGGCUCACUGUGUCCCGAUCCUUGGAGCCGGAUCAUUGGAUCAGUUCAGGAUCAGGAGCAGGAUUAGGAUUAGGAUAAGGAUGGAUACAUACAUGGAGCGGGAUCAAUUUACCGGGAACGGGAACCAUAGGAGGGGAUCCCAACCCCAGCCCCGCAUCCCCCCCACCAAACCACAACGUAAUUGGCUUCUCUAGAACCAAAUUCAUUUUUUUCUUUUUCCGUGGAGCCCCAUUGAUGCGCGCAGAAGGGAUCCAGGUGCCUGUUUUAUUUUUGCGAGAUUUGUUUUUUGGUAUAAAAAGAAGCAGAGCAAGGAACCAGAAGGCUGGAUGGAAUCGGCAUGAGGAGCGUGGUAAAUAGGGGCGAAUUCGUGGGAGGGUGGGAUCAUAGGCACAUUUUCAGGGGGAUGUUGUAGUUUAUUUAGGGUUUCAAAAAUCACUUUUCAAAUAACACUUGUUGGCAUUUGCUGUGUUGGCAGUGGUGUUUCUUUCCCCCCACAAUUGGCUACUUUAUAUUUCUAGAUUGUAGUGUGUUUUCUCUCUCUCCCUUCUUUAAAUAAAGAUCAACU